GACGAACGCUGGCGGCGUGCUUAACACAUGCAAGUCGAACGAAGUGGCGAACGGGUGAGUAACGCGUAAUCAACCUGCUCUUCAGAGGGGGACAACAGUUGGAAACGACUGCUCAUAACGCAUACUGAAGGAGGGGAUUGAGUCGGCUUAGGUAGUGGGAGGGGGAACGGCCCACCAAGGCGAUGAUCAGUAGCAGGGCUGAGAGGAUGAACGGCAACAUUGGGACUUAGACACGGCCCAGACUGCUUCGGGAGGCAGCAGUGGGUAUACGUCCGCAAGGGACGAAAGUCAGACGGAGCAACGCCGCGUGAGUGAGGACGGCCGUCGGGUUGUAAAGCUCUGUUAAUCGGGGCGCGGUACCGGAAUAGAAAGCAACGGCUAACUACGUGCCAGCAGCCGCGGUAAUUC
rnacentral:rRNA from 1 species